CUGACUUGGUGCUUCGGUCUCCUCAGGAUAGUUCUGUUCAAGCUGUAUAUCUUCAGACCUUACUACUUCUCCUUCGUAGUCUGCCCAUCCGUCCUUGAUGAUUUGCCUCCUCUGGUUGCGGUUGCGUCGUCUUCUUCUUGUCCUGACCUGCUUAGAGUCUUCAACUAUAUAGUUAGGGUCAGUAAAAUAGUGGCGUACCUUCUGUA
rnacentral:lncRNA from 1 species